ACGCUGGCGGCGUGCCUAAUACAUGCAAGUAGAACGCUGAAGCUUGGUGCUUGCACCGAGCGGAGGAGUUGCGAACGGGUGAGUAACGCGUAGGUAACCUGCCUCUUAGCGGGGGAUAACUAUUGGAAACGAUAGCUAAUACCGCAUAAAAGUCGACAUUGCAUGAUGUUGACUUGAAAGGUGCAACUGCAUCACUAAGAGAUGGACCUGCGUUGUAUUAGCUAGUUGGUGAGGUAACGGCUCACCAAGGCGACGAUACAUAGCCGACCUGAGAGGGUGAUCGGCCACACUGGGACUGAGACACGGCCCAGACUCCUACGGGAGGCAGCAGUAGGGAAUCUUCGGCAAUGGACGGAAGUCUGACCGAGCAACGCCGCGUGAGUGAAGAAGGUUUUCGGAUCGUAAAGCUCUGUUGUAAGAGAAGAACGAGUGUGAGAGUGGAAAGUUCACACUGUGACGGUAACUUACCAGAAAGGGACGGCUAACUACGUGCCAGCAGCCGCGGUAAUACGUAGGUCCCGAGCGUUAUCCGGAUUUAUUGGGCGUAAAGCGAGCGCAGGCGGUUAGAUAAGUCUGAAGUUAAAGGCUGUGGCUUAACCAUAGUACGCUUUGGAAACUGUUUAACUUGAGUGCAGAAAGGGAGAGUGGAAUUCCAUGUGUAGCGGUGAAAUGCGUAGAUAUAUGGAGGAACACCGGUGGCGAAAGCGGCUCUCUGGUCUGUAACUGACGCUGAGGCUCGAAAGCGUGGGGAGCAAACAGGAUUAGAUACCCUGGUAGUCCACGCCGUAAACGAUGAGUGCUAGGUGUUGGGUCCUUUCCGGGACUCAGUGCCGCAGCUAACGCAUUAAGCACUCCGCCUGGGGAGUACGACCGCAAGGUUGAAACUCAAAGGAAUUGACGGGGGCCCGCA
rnacentral:rRNA from 1 species